rnacentral:rRNA from 1 species
CCUACGGGGGGCAGCAGUGAGGAAUAUUGGUCAAUGGUCGCGAGUCUGAACCAGCCAAGCCGCGUGAGGGAGGAAGGUUCUGUGAUUCGUAAACCUCUUUUGUCAGGGAAUAAAGACCGGGACGCGUCCCUGUCUGAAUGUACCUUAAGAAUAAGGAUCGGCUAACUCCGUGCCAGCAGCCGCGGUAAUACGGAGGAUCCGAGCGUUAUCCGGAUUUAUUGGGUUUAAAGGGUGCGGAGGCGGUCGUUUAAGUUAGCGGUGAAAGGCCGGGGCUCAACCACGGACUUGCCUUUGAUACUGGGCGGCUAGAGAGGGUGUGCGGUAGGCGGAAUGCGUGGUGUAGCGGUGAAAUGCAUAGAUAUCACACAGAACACCGAUUGCGAAGGCAGCUUGCCAAGCCACGACUGACGCUGAGGCACGAAAGCGUGGGGAUCGAACAGGAUUAGAUACCCGGGUAGUC